rnacentral:rRNA from 1 species
GAUGAACGCUGGCGGCGUGCCUAAUAUAUGCAAGUCGAGCGAACGGACGAGAAGCUUGCUUCUCUGAUGUUAGCGGCGGACGGGUGAGUAACACGUGGAUAACCUACCUAUAAGACUGGGAUAACUUCGGGAAACCGGAGCUAAUACCGGAUAAUAUUUUGAACCGCAUGGUUCAAAAGUGAAAGACGGUCUUGCUGUCACUUAUAGAUGGAUCCGCGCUGCAUUAGCUAGUUGGUAAGGUAACGGCCUACCAAGGCAACGAUGCAUAGCCGACCUGAGAGGGUGAUCGGCCACACUGGAACUGAGACACGGUCCAGACUCCUACGGGAGGCAGCAGUAGGGAAUCUUCCGCAAUGGGCGAAAGCCUGACGGAGCAACGCCGCGUGAGUGAUGAAGGUCUUCGGAUCGUAAAACUCUGUUAUUAGGGAAGAACAUAUGUGUAAGUAACUGUGCACAUCUUGACGGUACCUAAUCAGAAAGCCACGGCUAACUACGUG